rnacentral:rRNA from 1 species
UACGAAGGACCCAAGCGUUAUCCGGAUUUAUUGGGCUUAAAGGGUGCGUAGGCGGAUUAUUAAGUCAGUGGUGAAAGCUCUCGGCUCAACCGGGAAAUUGCCAUUGAUACUGAUAGUCUUGAGUAUGAUUGAGGUGGGCGGAAUGUGUCAUGUAGCGGUGAAAUGCUUAGAUAUGACACAGAACACCGAUUGCGAAGGCAGCUCACUAAGUCAUAACUGACGCUGAUGCACGAAAGCGUGGGGAGCAAACAGG